rnacentral:rRNA from 1 species
AGCAGCCGCGGUAAUUCCAGCUCCAAUAGCGUAUAUUAAAGUUGUUGCAGUUAAAAAGCUCGUAGUUGAAUUUCGGGAUCAAUAUGUUGGUCGUGCCUUGGUACGUACUGGCAUUAUUGGUUUCUACCUUCUGAAGAACCUCGGUGUCAUUAAUUUGGUGUCUUGGGGGAAUCAGGACUGUUACUUUGAAAAAAAUUAGAGUGUUUAAAGCAGGCUCGCGCUUGAAUACAUUAGCAUGGAAUAAUGAAAUAGGACGUUUGAUUCUAUUUUGUUGGUUUCUAGGAUCGACGUAAUGAUUAAUAGGGAUAGUUGGGGGCAUUAGUAUUCAAUUGUCAGAGGUGAAAUUCUUGGAUUUAUUGAAGACUAACUACUGCGAAAGCAUUUGCCAAGGAUGUUUUCAUUAAUCAAGAACGAAAGUUAGGGGAUCGAAGACGAUCAGAUACCGUCGUAGUCUUAACCAUAAACUAUGCCGACUAGGGAUCGGAUGAUGUAAUUUUUAAUGACUCAUUCGGCGCCUUAC